GAUGAACGCUGGCGGCGUGCUUAACACAUGCAAGUCGAACGAUGAAGCCCAGCUUGCUGGGUGGUUUUGUGGCGAACGGGUGAGUAACACGUGAGUAACCUGCCCUUAACUCUGGGAUAAGCGUGAGCAACUGGGUCUAAUCCCGGAUAGGAGAGUCCACCGCAUGGUGGGUGUUGGAGAGCUUUAGCGGUUUUGGAUGCACUCGCGGCCUUUCCGCUUGUUCGUGGGGUAUCGGCUUACGAUGACGACGACGGGUAGCCGACCUGGGAAGGUGAUCGGCCUCCUCGUGACUAAGAGACGGACCAGAAUCCUACGGGGGGCAGCAGUGGGGAAUAUUACGCAACGAUCGCAAGCCUGAUGCAGGGACGUUGCGUGCGUGAUGACGGUCUUCAGGUUGAGAACCUCUUUCAGUAGGGAAGAAGCGAAAGUGACGGUACCUGCAGAAGAAGCACCGGCUAACUACGUG
rnacentral:rRNA from 1 species